rnacentral:sRNA from 1 species
UAUUAGCUGCGUUAGGGAUAGGAGCGAUAUCCUUUUUUGUUUUUCACAAAAAAGAUUUAGUGUAUAGCCCGAUCCGUC